rnacentral:tRNA from 1 species
GGGCCCUUAGCUCAGUUGGUCAGAGCAACGGACUCAUAAUCCGUCGGUCGUAGGUUCGAGCCCUACAGGGCCCAC